rnacentral:rRNA from 1 species
CAGUCGCCACGGUAAUACAGAGGUCUCAAGCGUUGUUCGGAUUCAUUGGGCGUAAAGGGAGCGUAGGCGGUCGGGUAAGUUGGAUGUGAAAUCCUGGGGCUCAACCUCAGAACUGCAUUCAAUACUGCUUGGCUAGAGUAUUGGAGAGGUGAGUGGAAUUCACGGUGUAGCAGUGAAAUGCGUAGAUAUCGUGAGGAAGACCAGCGGCGAAGGCGGCCCCCUGGACAAAGACUGACGCUCAGGUGCGAAAGCGUGGGGAGCAAACAGGAUUAGAGACCCCAGUAGUCCCUGUCUCUUAUAA